rnacentral:rRNA from 1 species
GAUGAACGCUGGCGGCGUGCCUAAUACAUGCAAGUCGAGCGAACCACUUCGGUGGUGAGCGGCGAACGGGUGAGUAACACGUAGGUGAUCUGCCCAUCAGACGGGGACAACGAUUGGAAACGAUCGCUAAUACCGGAUAGGACGAAAGUUUAAAGGUGCUCCUGGCACCGCUGAUGGAUGAGCCUGCGGCGCAUUAGCUAGUUGGUAGGGUAAAGGCCUACCAAGGCGACGAUGCGUAGCCGACCUGAGAGGGUGAACGGCCACACUGGGACUGAGACACGGCCCAGACUCCUACGGGAGGCAG